UUUCUUUAUUUGAGAAAAUGUAAUCCAGUGAGUGGGGGAUAGAAACUGCCCCUUGGAAAUAUAUAUCCAAGUAACUGUAUUCCAGCACCAUAUGGGGUUUAAGGGUCUAGUGCUUUGCCUUCAAAAGCAGCAUUUAAAUAGGUGCAUGCCUAAUAAAUUCUGGCCUGAGCUUCAGUCCUUUGCAUUCAAGAAGCAGCUUGUUUUCAUAAAAAUGCCUGGGGCAGGCUGAAGAACAAAAUUUCACUCUGAGGGCCAUUCUCAUGAACAUUCUCAUCUCCUGCAAAAUUCAUGCCAUACUUCUGACAGUAUAAACUGGUUUUGCCCACUUGACAAAGAUGCAGACAUCUUUGCAGAGAUGAGGCAGAAGACUGGUUCUCACUGUAUGUUCUUUUCAAUGGUAUCACAGGAUUUCUUAAAAAUGAGACCUGGGACCCUGAAA